rnacentral:misc_RNA from 1 species
AAAACCCUUUCCCUUCUCCCUCUCUCUCUCUAAAAGAAGUCGAUCCCUUUGUUGAAAAGGGAAAGGAGGAGAAAACAAUGGCGAUUGUGGAGGAAGGUAAGGAGUUUGAGACGUGCGUUGUGUUCGGUGGUCGAGGAUUCAUCGGGAAACCGCUUGUCGAUAGGCUUCUUCGACUCGGCAAUUGGAUCGUACGAAUCGCCGAUUCUUUCCCCACUAUUCAACUUGAACCCUCUGAGUCCCUCCUUUCCCAUGCCCUUUCUUCUGGACGCGCUUCAUAUUUCCAUGUCGAUGUUCGUCAUAAAUCCAAUAUUAUUACAGCUAUUGAUGGUGCAUCAGUUGU